GUGCCAGCAGCCGCGGUAAUACGGAGGGUCCAAGCGUUAGGCGGAAUCACUGGGCUUAAAGCGUGCGUAGGCGGCUCAUCAAGUGUCUUGUGAAAGCCCUCGGCUCAACCGAGGAAUUGCUUGGCAUACUGGUGAGCUUGAAUCAUCUAGAGGCAAGUGGAACUGAUGGUGGAGCGGUGAAAUGCGUAGAUAUCAUCAGGAACGCCGAAGGCGAAAGCAGCUUGCUGGGGAUGUAUUGACGCUGAGGCACGAAAGCUAGGGUAGCGAACGGGAUUAGAUACCCUGGUAGUCC
rnacentral:rRNA from 1 species